GUGUUGCUGAUGAACAUCUUUAUAUGCAAAACCGGAGCACCCAGAGAAAACCCACGCAAACGCAGAGAGAAUUUGCAAACUACACACAGAAAUGCCUGCAGAUCCAGCUGCGGCUCGAGUCAGCAUCCUUGCUUAUUGGAUGCCUGAUUGCAGUUCAACUCCAAACUCAGUUGGACCAGCUGAUCAGUGUCUU